UUAUUUAAAAUUAAAUAAUUGUGUACUUGUAUUAUCUUACGAUUACAAAACUAUAUUUAUCAAACUUUCAUUUUAAUCGGUUAACUUUUUAGUUUCAUAAUUUCAUUAACUGAAUUUAAUAGUUCCAAAAAAAUUAAUUAGUUUCAUACUAGUGUAAAUUUAUUUUAAUGAGCGAUUUAGAAAGAAAAAAAAAAAAAAAGUAAUGAGAAGGAGCAGCGUUGGCGAAAGAGAGUGAACCGUUAGAACCCUCUCGGGUGUGGUCUUGGCGGCAUCGGUCGAAAAUGGCGCCAUUGAACUCAUUGGAGAAAGAGUAUCCACUCAUUGACGCUAACUUCCAAACCUUUUGCGCUUCCCACGCCAUUUACUCCGUUGAAGAUUUCCUCCUUCACGAUCUCGACGCAUUAUUCGCUUCUGCAUCUAAUCCAUCUACUUCACACAGACUUAAACAGGGAAUUCAUCAGCUUCUCUCUAUAAUUGAUGCUUUACAUCCACCAUUGAUAAACGGUUUGCAGCUUAUGGAAGAUGCUAAACAGAAUAAACAUGUUUUGUCCACCGGUUGUGAAGGGAUUGAUGCGUUGCUAGGAGGUGGAUUACGCGCAGGACAAUUAACUGAACUUGUUGGGCCAUCCUCUUCUGGCAAGACACAGGUUUGUCUGAUGUCUGCCUCAACUUUUGCAAAGCAUAAGGGUUCAGUUAUAUAUUUAGAUACUGGCAACUCAUUUUCACCUCAGCGUAUUGCACAUUUUGUUGGACAGUCUUCUGAUUGUGUCUCAGGCAAUCAGGCAGAUCGUAGAUCUCUACAGAAAGUAUUGGACAGGAUAAUUUGCUAUCCGGUGUUUGAUGUAUAUGAGAUGUUUGAUAUGCUGCAUCAACUGAAGAUCAAUUUGACAUCUGAGAUUGUCAAAUCAGACCGUCAUGUACAGCUGCUUAUUGUUGAUUCAAUAUCUUCAUUGAUUACUCCCAUCCUUAGGGGCAAUGGUCCUCAGGGUAUAGUACAUAUUUGCAUGACACGCUUUAAUGAUUUCUGCUGGGUUUUUACUGAAAAAGUUAGCACAUGAGCAUAAUAUUGCAGUAUUGGUAACAAAUCAUGUGGUGGGUGGGGAAGACGGUAACUCUAAACCAGCACUUGGAGAGAGUUGGAAGAGUGUCCCUCAUGUACGGCUUCUACUUUCACGUGAUUGUGGAGGAAAUGUCUGCAAUAUUUCAAUAAUAAAACAUCCAGCUAUGGCUUCUGGUAGGACUGCAUCUUCCAUCCGUCUGUUUGUUUGAAACUAUUCUCGCCGCAAAAUGGCGUUGCAUCAAAGGAAUGUUGUAUUUUAUAGAAAUGUAUGUGGAAGCUUAUGCUGGUACUGGCACCGGUACUGUUGUCUUCAGAAAAUAUGGACCAGAAGAACAAACGUGCUAAUAUAUUUUUGCAACAAAAAUUUCUAUGAUUUAAUUAAGAUCAUUUAUGUUCUA